rnacentral:rRNA from 1 species
CCCUUAGAUGUUCUGGGCCGCACGCGCGCUACACUGACGAAUGCAACGAGCUUAUAACCUUGGCCGAAAGGUCUGGGUAAUCUCCAAAUUUCGUCGUGAUGGGGAUAGAUUAUUGCAAUUAUUAAUCUUCAACGAGGAAUGCCUAGUAAGCGCAAGUCAUCAGCUUGCGUUGAUUACAUCCCUGCCCUUUGUACACACCGCCCGUCGCUCCUACCGAUUGAAUGGUCCGGUGAAGCGUUCGGACCGUGGCCUUUGGACGGUUCGCCGUCUGUUGGCUGCGGGAAGUUCGUUAAACCUUAUCAUUUAGAGGAAGGAGAAGUCGUAACA